rnacentral:rRNA from 1 species
UACGUAGGGGGCAAGCGUUAUCCGGAAUUACUGGGUGUAAAGGGAGCGUAGACGGUAAUGUAAGUCUGGAGUGAAAGGCGGGGGCCCAACCCCCGGACUGCUCUGGAAACUAUGUUACUAGAGUGCAGGAGAGGUAAGCGGAAUUCCCAGUGUAGCGGUGAAAUGCGUAGAUAUUAGGAGGAACACCAGUGGCGAAGGCGGCUUACUGGACUGUAACUGACGUUGAGGCUCGAAAGCGUGGGGAGCAAACAGG